CCAUAAACAGUAGCAAUUUGGAAAGCCAGCUCCAAGCUACUCAAGCUGCUAGAAAACUGCUUUCAAGAGAGAAACAGCCUCCUAUAGACAACAUCAUCCGGGCUGGUUUGAUCCCAAAAUUUGUGUCCUUCUUGGGCAAAACUGAUUGUAGUUCCAUUCAGUUUGAAUCUGCUUGGGCACUCACCAACAUUGCUUCUGGAAAAUCUGAACAGACCAAAGCUGUAGUGGGCGGAGGUGCUAUCCCAGCAUUUAUUUCUCUCUUGGCAUCUCCCCUUGCUCACAUCAGCGAGCAAGCUGUAUGGGCUCUUGGAAACAUUGCAGGCGAUGGCUCAGUUUUCCGAGAGGUAGUUAUCAAACAUGGUGUAAUUGACCCACUGUUGGCACUUCUUGCAGUUCCUGAUCUGUCAUCCUUGGUAUGUGGUUACUUACAGAAUCUUACCUGGACACUUUCAAACCUUUGCUGAAACAAGAAUCCUGCACUCCCCUUAGAUGCUGUUGAGCAGACCCUUCCUACUCUAGUUCGACUCCUACACCACAAUGAUCCAGAAGUAUUAGCAGACUCCUGCUGGGCCAUUACCCACCUGACUGAUGGGCUGAAUGAGCGCAUCGAGAUGGUUGUGAAGAAGGGAGUUGUUCCCCAACUUGUGAAGCUUCUAGGAGCUACUGAAUUGCCCAUUGUGACGCCGGCACUGAGAGCCAUAGAGAAUAUUGUCACCGGAACAAAUGAACAGACUCAGAAAGUAAUCAAUGCAGGCGCACUUGCAGUCUUUCCCAGUGUGCUAACAAACCCCAAAACUAAUAUUCAGAAGGAGGCCACAUGGACAAUGUCGAACAUUACCGCCAGGCGCCAGGACCAGAUACAGCAAGUGGUGAAUCACGGCCUAGUCCCAUUUCUUGUUGGUGUCCUCACUAAAGCAGACUUUAAGACACAGAAGGAAGCUGCAUGGGAUAUAACCAACUAUACCAGCGGCUACAGAGAAACUAGAUAAGACAGAAAAACUCAAUAUAAUGAUUGAAGAGUGUGGAGGCUUGGAUAAAAUUGAAGCACUACAGAGCCGUGGGAACGAGUCUGUAUACAAGGCCUUGUUGAACCUAAUUAAGAAGUACUUCUCAGUGGAGGAAGAGGAAGAUCAAAAUGUGGUGCCAGAAACUACCUCUGAAGGCUUCGCCUUCCAAGUUCAGGAUGGAGCUCCCGGGACCUUUGACUUCUAAUGUCCAGCCAAAGCACAAAGUUGUUAGCUAUGUGCUGUGCUAUGCUGUGUUCUCAUAAAUUUGUCUUACUGUCUCUACUAAGAACUCUUUUUAAGUGUGGUUUGUUAUUGUAGCACUUUCACAAACUAUACUUGAACAGUUAUAAACUGAACAUACUCUAUGAAGCUGUCCUCUGAGUUUAUUUCUAUGUGGAAUUUCAUACCCUGUCAUGUCCUGUAAAUAAAGAUUAAGUUCCAUUCUUCUUUAAAAAAAUAAAAAAGAGAGAAAGCCACAGAAAGUGGAAAGAAUAUAAAUUUGGCAAGUAUGUGUGUGUGGCAUCAGUGGG
rnacentral:lncRNA from 14 species